GCGUCGGUAGUGCAAAGGUUCAGCACGUGCUCCCGGAAAGAGUGAAGUGUGGGUUCGAGCUCCAACUGACGCA